rnacentral:rRNA from 1 species
GACGAACGCUGGCGGCGUGCUUAACACAUGCGAGUCGAACGGAAAGGCCUCUUUCGGGGGGUACUCGAGUGGCGAACGGGUGAGUAACACGUGAGUAACCUGCCCUUGACUUUGGGAUAACUUCAGGAAACUGGGGCUAAUACCGGAUAGGAGCUCCUGCUGCAUGGUGGGGGUUGGAAAGUUUCGGCGGUUGGGGAUGGACUCGCGGCUUAUCAGCUUGUUGGUGGGGUAGUGGCUUACCAAGGCUUUGACGGGUAGCCGGCCUGAGAGGGUGACCGGCCACAUUGGGACUGCGAUACGGCCCAGACUCCUACGGGAGGCAGCAGUGGGGAAUAUUGCACAAUGGGUGGAAGCCUGAUGCAGCAACGCCGUGUGCGGGAUGACGGCCUUCGGGUUGUAAACCGCUUUCGCUCAUGACGAAGCUUUGUGUGACGGUAGUGGGUAAAGAAGCACCGGCUAACUACGUG